GCAGGCACCACGUAUUCCCCCCCUCGUCCUCCUCCUCAUGGGGCGGGUCUAAACUCAUCUACUGCUGUGUUAGGUUCCCCUGAAGCGGUCACAGUCCACAGCUGUCUGAGGAGGACUUUAAAGACUUUAGGGGACAAGUGUGGACUCCUAUGCUGUUGAGCCAAUGAGCUGUGAAACAGCGCCCUCACAUGGUGAAUCGGUUGAUGACUAGACGUCACCCUUUUCUAAGAAAUCAGCCGUGUCACUGCCAAACAAAAUAAGCCGUGGUCGGUGGUAAGACCCGUCACACCUGCGUGCCCUGUGUGAAACAUGAUAUCGUCCUGGAAACAGAGACAUGUCACCAAACCAAACACUGGCCCCCACCCUGAGUGUCUGCAGGGCAUGCUUGACAUAAAGCAAAGAAACCAGACAACCCCCACUGUUGUGUCAUCAGCAGCCAACUGGUGGAGCAUGCUGGGAAGUAUUUAUAUGAUGCUCACUCACAAAUACAAACAAAACAAUAAUUCAUAGUAUUUUCCGUUCUCACUUUGAAUUGCUCUGCUGCUUGAUACCAACCUAUAGAAUAAUGUCACAGAAAAUGUACCAGUGUUGAGGUAAAACAUUAAAGCAAUAUUAUGUAGAAAUCAGAAGUGCAACACCGGUGUCAUAAAGAAACAAAGCUCUUCACAUCAUAACAAUGUUUUAUGUCCUCAAAACCUGUAUCUUGAAGUAAACAUGUACGUAAUGCUGCGACAUCACAAUUAUUUCCAAGCUGUUGUUUUGAGAUUAAGUGGUUA